rnacentral:rRNA from 1 species
CCUACGGGAGGCAGCAGUAGGGAAUCUUGCGCAAUGGACGAAAGCCUGACGCAGCCAUGCCGCGUGAAUGAUGAAGGUCUUAGGAUUGUAAAAUUCUUUCACCGGGGACGAUAAUGACGGUACCCGGAGAAGAAGCCCCGGCUAACUUCGUGCCAGCAGCCGCGGUAAUACGAAGGGGGCUAGCGUUGCUCGGAAUUACUGGGCGUAAAGGGAGCGUAGGCGGAUAGUUUAGUCAGAGGUGAAAGCCCAGGGCUCAACCUUGGAACUGCCUUUGAUACUGGCUAUCUUGAGUACGGGAGAGGUGAGUGGAACUCCGAGUGUAGAGGUGAAAUUCGUAGAUAUUCGGAAGAACACCAGUGGCGAAGGCGACUCACUGGCCCGUUACUGACGCUGAGGCUCGAAAGCGUGGGGAGCAAACAGGAUUAGAUACCCUGGUAGUCCACGCUGUAAACGAUGAGUGCUAGUUGUCGGCAUGCAUGCAUGUCGGUGGUACGCGAGCGUACGACGAUUAAGUACGACUCCGUCCGUCGGGAGGUACGGUACGGCGACGAAGUUAAACGUUAAAACGGUAAAGUUAGUACGGUACGUGAGACGUACGCCGACGGACGACGACGAGGGAGGAGG